AUUGAACGCUGGCGGCAGGCCUAACACAUGCAAGUCGAACGAGUGGCGGACGGGUGAGUAAUGUCUGGGAAACUGCCUGAUGGAGGGGGAUAACUACUGGACACGGUAGCUAAUACCGCAUACCAUCGGAUGUGCCCAUAUGGGAUUCGCUAGUAGGUGGGGUAAAGGCUCCACUAGGCGACGAUCCCUAGCUGGUCUGAGAGGAUGACCAGCCAAACUGGGACCGGGAAACGGCCCAGACUCCUAAGGGAGGAAGCAGUGGGGAAUAUUGGACAAUGGGCGCAAGCCUGAUGCAGCCAUGCCGCGGGUAUGAAGAAGGCCUUCGGGUUGUAAAGUACGUUCAGCCGGGAGGCGUUACCCGCAGAAGAAGCACCGGCUAACUCCGUGCCAGCAGCCGCGGUAAUAC
rnacentral:rRNA from 1 species